CUGAUGCAGGGAACUCCCCACAAAGUGGCGAAUGCAUGCUGGUGCUGGGUUAAACGUUAGGAAGGGUCCUCACCCCUGUGGUGGGGAGAGAGAUGAGGUAGAAACGAGAUCCGAAGCGGCAUACGAUGCAUGUCGUGGAUGGCGUUUUACCUGCUUUCCCCUACGUUACCUACUUUCCUGCUAAGGCAUUGUUGACGGAGUACGCAGGCGGGUUGGGCGAUCAAGUGAGUUGCUGAGAGGAGACCGAAAUGAAAAAAACCCCUCCACAGGGCUAGGAAAGACUGGAGGGUUGGAACAAGCCGAGGCGAGGAUAGAUUUACCUUGCAUAUGUAUAUGUACGCAGUAUGUGGCCAGAUAUGCGACCAGCAGCAACCCGGUGAUGGCUUUCUUGGUGAAUGUCGCUGUUAUCAACUUUUAUGCCGAAACAAAAUUUUGGGCUGGGAUUGUGGAAGAGAAAUGACCAUCCUGUGUGGAAAGGGAGAUGCUAUGGAGGAAAAUUGGCAUCGUAUAUUAUUGACU
rnacentral:sRNA from 1 species